rnacentral:rRNA from 1 species
CAGAGGUCCCAAGCGUUGUUCGGAUUCACUGGGCGUAAAGGGUGCGUAGGCGGUCGGGUAAGUCUGAUGUGAAAUCUCACAGCUUAACUGUGAAACUGCAUUGGAUACUAUUCGGCUUGAGAGUUGGAGGGGGACUGGAAUUCUCGGUGUAGCAGUGAAAUGCGUAGAUAUCGAGAGGAACACCAGUGGCGAAGGCGAGUCCCUGGACAACUUCUGACGCUGAGGCGCGAAAGCUAGGGGAGCAAACAGGAUUAGAUACCCUGGUAGUCCUAGCUGUAAACGGUGCUUAUUUGCUGUAAAAGGAAUCGACCCCUUUUGUGGCGUAGCAAACGCGUUAAAUAAGCCGCCUGGGAAGUACGGUCGCAAGAUUA